CAGCAGCCACGGGAAUACGUAGGUGGCAAGCGUUAUCCGGAAUGAUUGGGCGUAAAGCGUCUGUAGGUGGCUUUUCAAGUCCGCCGUCAAAUCCCAGGGCUCAACCCUGGACAGGCGGUGGAAACUACCAAGCUGGAGUAUGGUAGGGGCAGAGGGAAUUUCCGGUGGAGCGGUAAAAUUCGUAGAUAUUCGGAAGAACACCAGUGGCGAAGGCGGCUCACUGGACUGGUAUUGACGCUGAGGUGCGAAAGCGUGGGGAGCAAACAGGAUUAGAUACCCCCGUAGUCCCUGUCCCUUAUAC
rnacentral:rRNA from 1 species